rnacentral:rRNA from 1 species
AGUGAACGCUGGCGGUAGGCCUAACACACGCAAGUCGAACGGCAGCACAGUAAGAGCUUGCUCUUACGGGUGGCGAGUGGCGGACGGGUGAGGAAUACAUCGGAAUCUACUUUUUCGUGGGGGAUAACGUAGGGAAACUUACGCUAAUACCGCAUACGACCUACGGGUGAAAGCAGGGGAUCUUCGGACCUUGCGCGAUUGAAUGAGCCGAUGUCGGAUUAGCUAGUUGGCGGGGUAAAGGCCCACCAAGGCGACGAUCCGUAGCUGGUCUGAGAGGAUGAUCAGCCACACUGGAACUGAGACACGGUCCAGACUCCUACGGGAGGCAGCAGUGGGGAAUAUUGGACAAUGGGCGCAAGCCUGAUCCAGCCAUACCGCGUGGGUGAAGAAGGCCUUCGGGUUGUAAAGCCCUUUUGUUGGGAAAGAAAAGCAGCAGGUUAAUACCCCGCUGUUCUGACGGUACCCAAAGAAUAAGCACCGGCUAACUUCAUG